CCUACGGGAGGCAGCAGUGGGGAAUUUUGGACAAUGGGCGCAAGCCUGAUCCAGCAAUACCGCGUGAGUGAAGAAGGCCUUCGGGUUGUAAAGCUCUUUUGUCAGGGAAGAAACGGCUGUGGCUAAUAUCCACGGCUAAUGACGGUACCUGAAGAAUAAGCCCCGGCUAACUACGUGCCAGCAGCCGCGGUAAUACGUAGGGUGCAAGCGUUAAUCGGAAUUACUGGGCGUAAAGCGUGCGCAGGCGGUUUUGUAAGUCUGUCGUGAAAUCCCCGGGCUCAACCUGGGAAUUGCGAUGGAGACUGCAAGGCUAGAAUCUGGCAGAGGGGGGUAGAAUUCCACGUGUAGCAGUGAAAUGCGUAGAGAUGUGGAGGAACCCCGAUGGCGAAGGCAGCCCCCUGGGUCAAGAUUGACGCUCAUGCACGAAAGCGUGGGGAGCAAACAGGAUUAGAUACCCUGGUAGUCCACGCCCUAAACGAUGUCUACUAGUUGUCGGGUUUUAAUUAACUUGGUAACGCAGCUAACGCGUGAAGUAGACCGCCUGGGAGAUCGCCAAUUUU
rnacentral:rRNA from 1 species